UACGUAGGGUCCGAGCGUUGUCCGGAAUUAUUGGGCGUAAAGGGCUCGUAGGCGGUUUGUUGCGUCGGGAGUGAAAACUUCGAGCUUAACUCGGAGCUUGCUUUCGAUACGGGCAGACUUGAGGCAUUCAGGGGAGAACGGAAUUUCUGGUGUAGCGGCGAAAUGCGCAGAUAUCAGAAGGAACACCGGUGGCGAAGGCGGUUCUCUGGGGGUGUGCUGACGCUGAGACACGAAAGCCAGGGGAGCGAACGGG
rnacentral:rRNA from 1 species